AGUCAAUAGAUACCCUGGUAGUCCACGCCGUAAACGAUGAGUACUAGGUGUAGGAGGUAUCGACUCCUUCUGUGCCGCAGUUAACACAAUAAGUACUCCGCCUGGGAAGUACGGUCGCAAGAUUAAAACUCAAAGGAAUUGACGGGGGCCCGCACAAGCAGCGGAGCAUGUGGUUUAAUUCGAAGCAACGCGAAGAACCUUACCUAGACUUGACAUCUCCUGAAUAGCGCAGAGAUGCGUGAAGCCCUUCGGGGCAGGAAGACAGGUGGUGCAUGGUUGUCGUCAGCUCGUGUCGUGAGAUGUUGGGUUAAGUCCCGUCAACGAGCGCAACCCUACUUAUUAGUUGCUACCACUUAAGUUGAGCACUCUAAUGAGACUGCCCGGGUUAACC
rnacentral:rRNA from 1 species